rnacentral:rRNA from 1 species
GAUGAACGCUGGCGGCGUGCCUAAUACAUGCAAGUCGAGCGCACGGGCGUGAUGCUUGUUUCAAUUAGGUUAGCGGCGGACGGGUGAGUAACGCGUGGAUAACCUACCUAUAAGAGUGGGAUAACUUCGGGAAACGGGUGCUAAUACCGGAUAAUAUCUUGAAACGCAUGGUUCAAAAGUGAAAGAUGGUAUUGCUGUCCCUAAUAGAUGGAUCCGGUCGGCUUAAGCAAGUUGGUAAGGUAACGGCUAACAAAGGCAAGAUUCAAUAGCCGACCGGGGAGGUGGUUGGCCCCAUCGGGAACUGAGCCAGGGUCCAACCCCCUCCGGGAGGAGGCGGUAGGGAUCCUCCCGCAAUGGGCGAAAGCUUGCCGGAGCAACGCCGCGUGGGGGAUGAGGGUCUUCGGUUCUAAAACCUCUUUUAUUGGGGAAAAACAUAGGUGUAGGUAACUGUGCACAUCUUGACGGUACCUAAUCAGAAAGCCACGGCUAACUACGUG